rnacentral:tRNA from 1 species
GUAGAUGUAGCUCAGUUGGAUAGAGCGCUCGCUCUCGAUUUGGGACCGAGUGGUCGCAGGUUCAAAUCCUGCCAUCUGCACCA